UCCAAUAUUGAUAUUAAGGAUUCCUGUUCCUUUUCAGGGUAUCUACACCUUUUCUCUGGAAACUUUUAGAAUUGUCAUUUUGUUUUUGGAUUCCUGAAACACAACUUUAUUUGCUUUAUCUUCUGAGCUCUCAUGACAUGACAGCAAAGGAGUAAAAAUGGGUGUAAACUUCCAACAACGAAGAGAAUAUGGACAGCAAGAGGGAGAUAUGAGCUGAGAGAACCCCUACUUCUCCACCCUUAGGUCGAGAGGAAUGACCGUUCCUCUCUAAAGAAACUGAACAAACUAUUCUUAGUGUGGGAGCCAAUGCCACACCUGGGCUCCGUUUCCACUCACCCUGAAAUGGAGCCCAGCAGUCAACAAGGCCUGCUGGUCACAGCAAGCUCAGAGUCACCUUUGCUAGAACUGCCAAUGACUGGUAUUUGAGGGAAGUGUGAUCCAUGAAAAAGAAACAUUGUGAAAUACAGAAAUGACACCGUUGGAAACAAGAGAUAAUUUAGGGUAAAUAAGGACCUUGAAAGAAACUACUUUGUAUCCUCAGAGACAUUUAUGAAGACACUGCAUCAAUUAAACAAGAUGAUGAUGCUAUGAAAAUGCUAAUAAAAAGUUGGAGGAUAAAAUGGAGGAAAAGUAAAAGAAAAAGACAGAGAGUAUAAAAAGAGCAACAACAAAAUAAUAUUUAAAAUAACCCAGAAUGACAGUUAGAAUCAACAGCUAACUGAUAGGAGAUCCAAAAAGAAAAAUAUGAGAGAAGAAAUCACAAAGAAACAUUACAAGAGAAUUUCUCAGAGUUGAAAGAUACAAAAGUUAAGACAGAGUUAUUUACCUGGUAUCCACUCUAAUGAAUAAAAGACAGCAAAUGCAACAUUUAAAAAUUCAUAACAUUAACAAUACAAGAGAGACCUUAAAUAGUUCCAGAGAGAGAAAAAUGAAGAAAAAUGACAACUUGUAAAUAAAUGGGCAUCAAAGACUUGUAAGAGCAAUACUAGAUGCUAGAAGACAAUAAAGAAAUGCUUCAACUUAUGAAGGAAAAUGAUUUUCAACUAGAAUUCUAUAUCCAGCAAAAAUAGUUGUGAAUUUUGAAGGCGGAAGAAAUGAGAUUUUCAGACAGAUGAGGUGUUGCAAAGGCUUAAUUCCAUGCGCCUUUUAAGGGAAGUCAUUUGAGGACACACUCCAGCAAAAUGAGGGCGUAAAGCAAGCCAGGGAGAGACACAGGAUUCUGGAAACAGUAUCUCCAACCUUGGAAAAUAGUGAAGAGAAAUGCAGAUGGCAGUUUUGCUAUAGUUCUAGAGAGAUCUGUACAGAUUUUACAGAUGAAGGAAACACUAUGUUGUAUCCUCCACCAUUUAUGAAGAUAGCAUAAGGACAGAAAAUUAAGUCGACUGACCAAGAUCACAUAUGUGCCCAACACAUUUCUCAAAGGCCACACCAGUCAAGAAGGAAGAGUAUCCAGUUGGAAGAUACUGAGGUCAUUGCAGAGGGGAACCCACAAUCAAUGCACCCUGGGUACACAGAUAUGUGCCAUCACUCUGAGAAUCAAAUACCAGGGAGUACAGUAUCAUCAUAUCAUCAUCAUCACUAUUGGCUAAUUGCUUUUCCCACACCUCCCAGCCCAGAGUCACACAUCUGUUCCAGGAGAGAGGGCAUUUUGGUUCACUUGCUUCCCUGGUACAAGCAGACCCAUCCAGAGAGGAGGGACACGGCCUUUCUCCUGUCACAAAUUCUGCACGAAAUUCCUGCCCGAGAGAUGAUCCCAACCAUUCACUCGCCAUCUCAUUACUCCUCAGCAGUGACUAAAACUCAAAAACCUAGCCCUUGUCUCUGGAUUCCAAGGGUGUAAUUUCAUCUGAAAUGUUUCCUUCCACUGACUAGUUCUCUAUCUUUCUUUUCGCCUGUCUGUUUUGCUCAGCUCUACCCUCUUGCACAUGUUAAAUCUAAUCCUUUGGUGACCUAAACUAGAAAAAAUGCCUCGAGAAUGAGCUGUUCUCCAUCUAUGAGUUUUUAUCUAGCAUACUAUAGCAUCUAUUCCUUUAAUAUUAGUAUCUUAGAUUAAAUCUACCAUUUAUUGUAUGCCUAUGGGCCAAGCAAUUUACUGAUAUUCAUCACAUUUAUUGUUACUAACAACUUAAUCAGCUAGAUGGUGUUAUCCCAUUUUACAGAUGAGGAAACUGAGUCUCAGAGAGGCUGAAUGCCGUGCCCAAGGCCCUGCAGCCAGAAUCAGAUUAGAACGGGUCCAUCUGACCCACAGGCCUCUUCUCCAAGGACUUCCAGUGCUGGGUCAGGUUAUCCCAGGAGGCCCUCUAUGAUUUCAAGAACUUCUCAGAUGUCCAAAUCAAACGAUUUUAAUCCAUUUUAUUAAUAAAAAUAAUAAUGCCUCUAUGUCUCAUAGGCGAUGUAAUGAAGUGAGAGGCAGGAGAAAAGAGUGUUGUAGCUGGAAAGAUUGGAACUCACUCCCUCUGCACUGAGAGGAAGAUUGCGGGUUACCAAUUAGGUGUUUCCCUCAGAAGGACUUUGUCAUAGGUGUGUGAACCUGCCACAACCCUUGUCACUUGGUGGAUUGAUUUAACUGGGUAGCUGAACCUGAUUGAAGAGAUUCCUUCCUGGGUCAUGACCCUGCUCUUGGAAAUGCAGAAUCUUUAGCCUGUAGGCCCCGAGUGAUGGAAUGAAGAGCUGGAGGUAUCAGAGUGAGAUAGACCAGAUCAAGGACUUGAUGCUCCUUUUAUCAGACAAUUGAAGGGACAGAUAUUCAUUCUAGAACUUGUAACAAGAUAGUGUUUCUAUUAAAAGGAAAUAUAAACCAUUUCCUCUCAUACGCCUUGACACCUUCGAGAACAACCUCUCUUAGCCACCAGAGGACAAGCCUAGGAAGUAUGGAGUAGCAGCAUGAUCGAGUAUAGAUUUAUACCCUCAUUCUGCCUCCUUCCAUCGAGCACUUGAGACAGCACGAACAGUAAUGUGAGACACUAGCAUUGCCAUUUUUUCCAGUGGACAAUCAAUAUCUUUGCUGUGCUCUUGGAGCUCUACAGACAAUCCUGAGGGGAUCAAAGAAGUCCUCUGACAGAAGCCCUAAAGCUGAAAGUCACAGUAUAACUCUGUAGUCUUAUUACGAGAAAUGAUAUUUCUGGAGGAUGCACACAGAACUUUUCUUACGGCAUCAAGAAGACUUGAAUCCAAAAAGACUGCAGAGAAAAGCGUUUAAUUCUGAGCCCUCAAAACAAACUUUCAGGAAAGUGCCUUUUCAUCCUUUGUUAACUUCAAAUAAAGGAGAGAAGGUCAUCCCCUCCCCAGGUUCUCCCUCCUGAACAGUUUUGUCAAUGAUGGAGGUGGUAUGAGGGGAGGGAGACCAAUGCCCCUUGUUCCUUAGGUUAUAUGUGAUGUUUGCUCCAGAAAUAUGAGCAAACAUCUUGGAAUCCUUAUCAUUAUGUAUCAGCUACCUUACUGGUUGACUCUACAGAGACUCUCAUAUUAAAAAAAAAUAAAAUGAUACCUCUGUGAAGAGUCUUUCAUCAUAGGAUUUCUUGGUCUAGUCAUCCCACCCCUAAUUUGCAGAGAUGAGAGUAAAAAUCAAGAGAGGUCACUAGUUGAAGAACAAGCCAUCAGCAGAACAUGCUGACAGCUCAACCUUCUUCAACCUUGAGCCAAGCCAUGGGCUCAGCAGCUGAGCCUCGUCUGCACUCCUGGCCCUUGAUAGGUACCCUCCCUGCAAUGGGCACAUGGAGUUAGUGGGAUGGAGUAAGUCCAGUUGCUGUUGAACUAGUUGCAGACUUGAGCUCUGUUAGUUUCCUUAAUUAUUACCGAUCAUCCAACAACAAUAUUGAGCAGCUAUAUGCCCCGCACUGCAUUGGACACCAACAAGAGGAAGCAGAGGCUGUGGCAUUUCAACAGUUAAGGGAAGAAAGGGCAGGCACAAUCUUGUACUUUUCCUUAGAGAGGGAGUCAAUAAGUAAGCGUGAAGCCUCUAAAGAAAAGAUGAGAGUAUGAAGGGAGCACGAGAGGGAAUGAAUGUCAGUCUCCUGGCAGUGUAGCCAGGCAAAAGUGUAAAGGAAGGAUGGACAAAGACUGGUUCAGAGAGGAGGGGCAGUCACAUAGAAAUGUUACUGUUAGGGCAAACGGGUGGGAAUCUUCAAGGUGAAUGGAAGGCUGGAUAAGAAAUGAGUGUGACUGGAGCCAUAGGUCAUGUUGUGCUGUAGCAGGUGAGGAUGCGGUUGAAGGAGGCAGUGGGGUGGGAAAGGGCCGACCAUAUACAGCUCCUGAAUCAGAUGUGAAAUUGUCUUUGAAACUAGUUAUUCUGAGCAGCGACAUGUGGUAUCACUUAGCAUAAAACAUAAUUGAAACCAAAGAAAUCCCUAAGAAGACAGCUCUAAUAGUCUAGCACUGAGGAGCUUAAAAGAUCAACUAUGUCGAUGCUUUUGGAAUGGAGAGAAAGACCUCAAAAUAGGAAGUAAGGCAGAGGAACAAUUAGCAGGACUCAGCAAAAAAAAGAAAGACCAUGGGAUUGGAGGAGUGAUACUGAAUGUAUUUUGGUUGAAUCUUGGAAUUUUUGAGCUGGAAAAGCCCUUAGCGCAAUAUCCUUAUUUUACAAAUGAGUGCAAGGCCAAGCCAGGUCAGUAAAGAAAGAUGUGCAUAUAGACAUACAUGUGGGCCAGUGAAAUUCAAUUAGGUUCCUCUUUUAUUUAGAAAAUAACAUGAAUAUAUUUUAGGGUUUGCAAUCUAACUUGGAGAUCAGAGGAAACAGAAUAUUGGGUUUGGGCUCAUGAUUUCUGAUUCCAGAAAUCUUGACCUCUAAUAAGCCCUGAUCCUCGGUGGCCUUUGGUGGACAGAGAGUUACUUUGAAUUGGGACUAACAGGGUUGGAGAGAAGCAGGUCAUCACAACGCCAUUGGGAAACACGACAGGCAGAGGACUGUGGGAUCCUGGGGCUACACCCUGCUUGAGGGGGCUUCAAGAUGUGGGGACAGUCAGGCUAGUUCGAGUGACUGGAUCUUUCCCAAGGUGCCACAUGCUGGUUUGGGUCACCCGGCUCCCACCCAGACUCACAUCAGCUUCACACCAUAUUAUCCACCUUGUGUGAUUCUCCGUGACGCUGCGGCCAGCACCAUCUCUCCACACCAUAUUACAGCCAAAAAAAAAAAAAAAAAAAAAUUAAGAACUUUUCCCAUGGACUAGGAAUGCAUUUCAUUUAGCUUCAUUUAAAAUACAUUGUUAGAGGUGUGUUCUGCAAAUCUGCCAAAUUCUAUAAAUAUGUAUGAAGUCACAGUGGCCUCCUCCACCCCUGGAUAGGCCAGUUUUGGGAUGGAUAAGAGACAGGGAGAAUUUUAAGUACAUCCUGUUCUCCUGAGGUUUACUUUUUUCCAUUCUGCUCUCUCUCCUUCUUUUGCUCCCUCCUGCUCAUCAACCCCUACCCUCCAAUAGAAAAAAAUAAUUGCCAUGAGGGCUGAGCCUGGGCAGAGCUGAAGGUUUCUUGUCUCUUUUGUAGAGUGCUGCAAACCCUUAAAACUGUCAGACAAUAACAGCCUUCUCCCAACACACAACCACAGCUCUCCUCUCACAAACAGGAAACCAUCCCAGGGCUGUGCGCUCCUGAGCCAGGAAAUUGGUCUAUGCUGCUUUGGCUACCUUCCCCUCAGGUUCUUCCUGGCCAUUCAACACGGUUAAAAAUAGUAGCCACCAAAACCAGAAGAAAAGAUGAUUUCAUUGUCUGACCACUGUAACUUGUGGCCUGAUUUGGGUGGUGGCAUUUGGAGCUAAUCCCCUGACUUGGCAUCUUCAGAAUUCUUUUAGGGUCAAGACUGGAUUUCAACACCCGGGUGCUCCCUGAGAAGCCAGCUCAUCUCGGGAGAGCAGCGAAUCAGGCAGAGCUGGCUGGCCAUCCACAGGCUUGGGCACACAUGUGUGUGCUCACGUGCACACACAGACACACUGAGGGUGAGACAGUCAUGCAAAUCCACCAUGUCCCCUGGGCACAGCCUGUGUGCAGUGCAGGCAGCACAUGCCCGUCCUGGCUUGUGACAGUAAGGCCAGGACAAAAUCUCUCUGCCGUCUGAGCCACUCACUCCUGCUAUGGUCUGGGGAGUGUGCGUCCUCACCCCAACUUGGAAGGCAUGAGAAUUUGUACAACAUGCUGAUUCCACUCUUAGCAAUAGGGAGCAGUCAGAGUGACAGAUACAGAAGAGACCCAAUGGGCUUCUAAAGCUAGGAGAAGAGAUAACUAGUUUGAGAAGGUACAAAGGCUCACUAACAGUUAAUCUUGAGGAGUAAGGAGAAAUCAAUUUUUACCGUGAAGCACCCCGCCUCCACCUGCUGCCACAGAUUAAAAUCCUCCAGAGGUAAAUUCACAACGACGAAAAGAUCCACGUCCCUCAAGACAGGGCUUAAGGCCCUCACUUUUGCUUAAUUUGCUACUGAAUUAAUCAGGCUAGUGGGUUUUAAAAUAACUUCUAUGUGACUGGCACCUCCUAAGGCGUGCUGUGGGCAUACAGAAGCUGCAUAAGAUGUUUAUGUGCUAUCUUGGAGAGUUUUAGAGCUAUUUAAAGAGGAAGAACAAACUCAGCUGAAGUAAACUGGAAACCAAACAUGUCCAGCAUUCGACGAGUAAGUACUGAGCCCCUCCCAGGCACUGCUGUGGGGAAUGCAGCCGUGAGAAAAUUUUAAAAAAAUGCCUGCCCUCAGGGGGCAUAUGCUUGAAUGGGGGAGGCAGGUGAUAACUUGGAGAAAUAAGUAUGAUAUAUAGUGUAAGUGCUUAGGAGAAAAAUAAAGCAGCAAAGGGGGAUAGGAAGUGUUGGGGAGAGGCAGCAAUCUCAGAAGAGGUGACCAGAAAAGUUCUUACUGAGAAGAUGACAUUUGAUUAAAAACGUGAAAGAUGCAAGUUCUGAAACUGCACGGUGCAGGCUGGAUGAGUACUUUAUUAGAUGGUGGAUCAGUGAGCAGCCAGGGGAAUUCAUGUAAGAGGGGAGGCUAAAUCUAAACCUUUGAAAGUUGGAAAAGUUUUAUCUAGUCAAAAGGAGGAAUGAUAUCAUUAUACUGAAAUUCUGUGCGCUGCAAUAAAUGUUUUAUCUGUGUCUCAUAUGUUACACACUUUGAAGAAAAACAAUUAGGUUCUCUAAUUAUACCCUUGGGGUAGCUACAUCAGCAUCCAGAAAUUUACCAGGGAUGUCCCAGGUCCCCAUCACUGCGUCUGGGAUGGGGAGGCAGCAUGAGUGUGGGGUGUCCCUUGUUCUGGCAGCGUUUGCUGGGAAGGUGACAUAGGCAGAAGAGCCAGAGGGACAUGGGUUCAAGCCUUGCCUGGUUACUUCCUAACCUCAUGACUGGGCAUGAUAAUUCCUUCUCUGAGCCUCAGUUUCUUCAUCUCUAAAUUGGGAAUACUGCCUUUUUGUUUUUUUUAAACAGGGCUCUUGUAAGGUCCAUAUAAAGCACUCGGGAAGUCAUACCCAUUAUUAGCAUUAUCAUGAUAUCACAAAACUAUGUGAAAUAAAAUGAUGGGCACCCUAUGACUGUUGUGAAUCUUGUCAUAAGUCUGAGGGAUGCUAACAACAGGCAAACUCACGUUUCCCUGUCGAGCUCUCAGCCUGGGGUAAGUGACUAAUUGAAGGAUAAAGAAAGGUUAAGUGAUGCACCCUUGUCAUUAGAUGCUGGGGGUGUGGUUGGAUCGCACACUCUGAUCUGGGGCUGCCAGGGCAGAGAGCACUUUGAGGACCGUGGGGCCGCUGCUGGGAAAGGGGAGGGGAGGAGAGGAGAGGGAGGGGGAAAGUAGAUGGGGCUGACCAAAGAGUAGUCUAAACCACGCAUCAGCCAAGGGGCCGUGAGCUCCUGGAAACCCUCCUACCAGAAUAUGCUAGUUCACCAGCAUCACUGAGCUGACGAUUGCUUAUCAGUCCUUUCCCAGGGAGUGUCACUCAGAAUGGGACCUGGGGAGGGCUGGCAUUGUGACAUCCCCCUCCCCAUGCGCUCUUUCUUCCCCUCUCUUAUUGAUCAGGACAGCUCAUCCUUGUUAGCACUCAAAAACCAUAGGAUGAAAGCUUGAUAAACCUGACUAUGAAGCUGUGAGAAGUUUCAGGCAUUUGAAACUGGCCUGGAUAAGGCCUGAGGGAAUCGAUAGCAAGUGAGUCAAGAAAGUCAGAAGGCCCCUGGAAGGUUGGGAAAUAAAGCAUGGGGCCGAGAGAGCCGAGUGCUUCAGAGCAAAUUAAAAGUCCACGGAGAGUGACGGAGGCCAACGCUCUGGGAGGUAGGAAGACAAGGACUGGCUGCAAAUAUCAUAUCCAGCUUCUUGAAUGUUUAAGCUGCUUUGCCAAUGGGCGUGCUCACCACUGAGCUCAGGUCUCCCUUCCACCCUAGGGGACAAACGUUUUGGUGGCUUUGUACACUGUCUGGCUCAUGCACGAUCUACAUUCUGUAUCAUGCUGGUGAUCCAGGCCUCUCUUUGCUUCCCCAUAGGCCUCAUAGACCGGCAUUCAACUGCCCGCUGAUUCAUUGAUCAACAAGGCUGUUACUAGGACUUCUUAACUCUUAAUUUAUUUUUAACAUUUAUUGAACAGCAUUACAUGCUAGACACUGUGCUUUACCUGCAUCAUCUCAUCUUAAUCUCAUAAAAACUUUAUGAAGCAUGUACUCUCAUUAUAUUUGUUUUGCAGAGACGGAAACUGAGUCCCAGAGAGGUCACAUAAUGCACCUAGUCCUCACAGUUAGUAAGUAGUGGGGCCAAAAUUCAAACUCAGCCUCUAACACCAGUGUCCGUGAGGUUGAACACAGUGUUCUAUAGCCUGACCAGCCACCAUUGCUUAAAUUUUGACUUCUUAAUGUCUGUAAAAGUGAGUGCCUAAAGAUAGAAGAUCAGUGAUUUUUUUUUUUGGAGGGAGCAGGGAUAUUAACCUAAUUAUAGUACAUUUUCACAAUUUUCCAUUCACUUAUAAAUAUAUUUUGUUCAGUAAAAAUAAUAGAGCACU